rnacentral:rRNA from 1 species
AAUCCAUAGGUUAAUGAGGCGAACCGGGGGAACUGAAACAUCUAAGUACCCCGAGGAAAAGAAAUCAACCGAGAUUCCCCCAGUAGCGGCGAGCGAACGGGGAGGAGCCCAGAGCCUGAAUCAGCAUGUGUGUUAGUGGAAGCGUCUGGAAAGGCGCGCGAUACAGGGUGACAGCCCCGUACACAAAAGCGCAUGUGCUGUGAGCUCGAUGAGUAGGGCGGGACACGUGGUAUCCUGUCUGAAUAUGGGGGGACCAUCCUCCAAGGCUAAAUACUCCUGACUGACCGAUAGUGAACCAGUACCGUGAGGGAAAGGCGAAAAGAACCCCGGCGAGGGGAGUGAAAAAGAACCUGAAACCGUGUACGUACAAGCAGUGGGAGCACCCUUUGGGUGUGACUGCGUACCUUUUGUAUAAUGGGUCAGCGACUUAUAUUCUGUAGCAAGGUUAACCGAAUAGGGGAGCCGGAGGGAAACCGAGUCUUAACCGGGCGUUAAGUUGCAGGGUAUAGACCCGAAACCCGGUGAUCUAGCCAUGGGCAGGUUGAAGGUUGGGUAACACUAACUGGAGGACCGAACCGACUAAUGUUGAAAAAUUAGCGGAUGACCUGUGGCUGGGGGUGAAAGGCCAAUCAAACCGGGAGAUAGCUGGUUCUCCCCGAAAGCUAUUUAGGUAGCGCCUCGUGAAUUCAUCUCCGGGGGUAGAGCACUGUUUCGGCUAGGGGGCCAUCCCGGCUUACCAACCCGAUGCAAACUGCGAAUACCGGAGAAUGUUAUCACGGGAGACACACGGCGGGUGCUAACGUCCGUCGUGAAGAGGGAAACAACCCAGACCGCCAGCUAAGGUCCCAAAGUCAUGGUUAAGUGGGAAACGAUGUGGGAAGGCCCAGACAGCCAGGAUGUUGGCUUAGAAGCAGCCAUCAUUUAAAGAAAGCGUAAUAGCUCACUGGUCGAGUCGGCCUGCGCGGAAGAUGUAACGGGGCUAAACCAUGCACCGAAGCUGCGGCAGCGACACUGUGUGUUGUUGGGUAGGGGAGCGUUCUGUAAGCCUGUGAAGGUGUGUCGUGAGGCAUG